UACGUAGGGGGGCAAGCGUUGUCCGGAAUCAUUGGGCGUAAAGAGCGUGUAGGCGGCCAGACAAGUCCGUUGUGAAAACUAGAGGCUUAACCUCUAGACGUCGAUGGAAACUGUUUGGCUAGAGUCCGGAAGAGGAGAAUGGAAUUCCUGGUGUAGCGGUGAAAUGCGCAGAUAUCAGGAAGAACACCCGUGGCUAAGGCGGUUCUCUAGUACGGUACUGACGCUGAGACGCGAAAGCGUGGGGAGCGAACAGG
rnacentral:rRNA from 1 species